CUAGAAUGAAGUUGGCUGGACAUAAAGUUUACUGGACCUCAAGUAGUCUGUGUCACCCGACGGGAGUCAGAAACGUCAUUUUUGUGCGGACCGGCGACUCGACGGACCCCGGCCGAGGACGCCGCUCGAACCGCGGUUGCGGAGGAGCGCGCCGAUACGAGUCGGAGACGGCUCGUACAGUCGGCGCACGAGAGCGGUCCGGACGAAGACAUUCGGGAACCGAGGACGAAGACGCUCGUCCACUGCGGACGAAGACACCGGUCGACGCGCGAGGAAGAUGCUCCGGAACACGGGAAGAACGCCACACUCCCGAGUGCGGGAAGACACUCGUCAACGCAGAAGGAGACACGCAUCAAUGUCGGGCCGGCGCGAUUGUUUUAAAGACGAUUUAACGUGUAAAAUGAAUGUACGUGUUGUUUGUAACGAUG